UACGUAGGUGGCAAGCGUUAUCCGGAUUUAUUGGGCGUAAAGCGAGCGCAGGCGGCUGCUUAGGUCUGAUGUGAAAGCCUUCGGCUUAACCGAAGAAGUGCAUCGGAAACCGGGCGACUUGAGUGCAGAAGAGGACAGUGGAACUCCAUGUGUAGCGGUGGAAUGCGUAGAUAUAUGGAAGAACACCAGUGGCGAAGGCGGCUGUCUGGUCUGCAACUGACGCUGAGGCUCGAAAGCAUGGGUAGCGAACAGG
rnacentral:rRNA from 1 species